AGGUAAAAGUCCCUAUUAUGAGACGAUGUCCCCAUUUAUGAUACACUUCAUAAAAAUACUAUUUUAUAAAAAAAAAACACACCCCUAGCAUACUAAAAGUAUAAUAAAUAUAUUAUUUCAUCUAUUUCAAAAGCAAUUUUCGACUUUGGCUGUUAAUUAAUUCCAUACUGUUUUUAAAAAAUAUUUAUUAAAGUGCGAGGUUUGUUAUUUGUGCUCAAAGCCACGACCAAGAAUAGUAAAACGACAACGGCAACCUAGUUUUUUAUGUUAGUGUAAUUUUAUUGUGUCUUCUACUUUUAUAUUAAAUUGUAUAUCAAUUGAAAGCUGAUGAUUAAUAGAUUUUAUUUCUAUACACAUUUAUAAAUUUUUUUUUAUUAUAAUAUUUUAAAUCUGAGUGUCUCACAAUGCCUACACUUAUUUACGUUAAUGCCCCGGUUUAUGAGACACUUUUCUCGGUGUACUGUGUAAUACGGACAUAUGUUUUUCGACUUGUCCCGAUUAAGUGAGACAGUGUACAUUUAUAAGAUUUUAUAUUGCUAAUAUGUGAUAUUAGUUAUAAAAAUAGUGCAAUUAUAUGUUCUAAAAUAUUGGCUAUUAUUAAAACCUCAAAUAUUUUUCUAAAAACUAAGUAAAAAGUAAAUUAUAAUAAAAAGCUGAGAUAAUGAAGCAUAAACAAAAUUCCAAAGUGAUAAAACUCAAUCAUCAAAUUCAACCAAAGAAAAAAGUGUUGUGUUCCAAAAUGAAUAAUAAAAU